rnacentral:rRNA from 1 species
UGAGGAAUAUUGGACAAUGGGCGCGAGCCUGAUCCAGCCAUGCCGCGUGCAGGAAGACUGCCCUAUGGGUUGUAAACUGCUUUUAUACGGGAAGAAACCCACCUACGUGUAGGUGGCUGACGGUACCGUAAGAAUAAGCAUCGGCUAACUCCGUG